UAGGACAUCAGGUUGGAGGCCACUGAAAGCAGUAGUGAUUGCCAUGGUGAAGAGAGCUGAAAGGCAACUGGAGACCUGCAGGCACCUAAAGGCAAGGGAUCAAGGAAGAGGAACACGAUAAAAUGCUUAUGGAUCCAAGAAGAAAUAGGAGAUGUGUAACCAAUAAAAGUAUGAUGAAUUCUGCUGCCUCUGCAGAAUACAAUCAGAACAUUAAGAGAGGACAGUGAAUCAGGAAAUGAAAUGCAAGGGAGCUAGCGACAACUAGCUACCCAGUUUGGGUCAAUGGAAGUAAACACGUCAAGAGCAUUCUUUGUAACUUCUAUGUCUCCUACUUUUCACAUCAGCGUUAUAAAGAAGUGAUGCCUGCAUCUGUGACAGCCAUCAUGAGAUAAUGAAGCAACAAACUGAAGGCUAAAAGAAAGCCAGCCUGCCAGAACAGUGGGAUUGAAGGACUGAGAGCCUGGGUAUCUCUGGGGCUCCUAUUCAAGCUCUAUGGAACCACAAAUGAGCUUCUUUAAACAUUUUGCUAAUAAGUAAUGUGUUUCUACGGACAUGUUUCCCUGUCACCCCAACAAAAUAAAUUAUAAUUGACUUGUUCAU
ensembl:lincRNA